CCUACGGGAGGCAGCAGUGAGGAAUAUUGGUCAAUGGGCGAGAGCCUGAACCAGCCAAGUCGCGUGAAGGAUGAAGGAUCAGUGGAUUGUAAACUUCUUUUAUCUGGGAAUAAAGUCUGGAACGUGUUCCUUUUUGUAUGUACCAUAAGAAUAAGCAUCGGCUAACUCCGUGCCAGCAGCCGCGGUAAUACGGAGGAUGCGAGCGUUAUCCGGAUUUAUUGGGUUUAAAGGGUGCGUAGGUGGUUAAUUAAGUCAGCGGUGAAAGUUGGGGGCUCAACCAUAAACUUGCCGUUGAAACUGGGUGACUUGAGUACAUUUGAGGUACGCGGAAUGCGUGGUGUAGCGGUGAAAUGCAUAGAUAUCACGCAGAA
rnacentral:rRNA from 1 species